GGAGGGCAUCUAGAGGCGCCCUUUCUGGUCUAGGCGUCCUACAGGCAGCUGGAGGAAGACGUCUGAGCUGACAUCAGAUUCAUGGGGUGGACUCCUAGGAGCGGGAUGGCUGGGUGAAGGAUAUGAACUCUGUUAAGGGUUUUGAUGCAUAUUGCCAAACCACUUUCCAAAAAGCCCGUGAUGAUUCCUCCCCGAUCGGCAGCUCACAGGUGCACCUUUCCCCACGCAGGAGGACUUCUCACCUAACUUUACUCAGGCGUUAACAUCUGAGCUUUUUCUGACUCAAUUCCUGUUAAAUGUCUAUAACUGCGGGGGAGUCUUCCAGUUCUACAGAUGCAUGGAAUCUGCGUUGUGUGGUGAGGAGAGGCAGCUGAUGGACCCACCCUGCCUGGAAGAACAGCACCGUGGGGAAGCGCAAAGGGCUGGGCGCCAGUGACCCCUCCACAGACUAUUUUGGAAGAAAUAUGGGUCCAAAUGAACUGCCCUGUGACAACUGAAGUGCCAGCUUCUAGGACAGCCUCAAAAGGGAAAUCGAGUUGUCACCACUCUUCUCCCUUUCACCAGCAAAGUUCUCAGAAGGGGGCACCGUUUCUUCCUCGAGCUCCUGGUCUGUGUUUUGAACUCAGCGUCAAGGUUGGCCCCAGUGCACCUGACACAGGCACCCCCUCAUUGUCCCCCGACCUCACGGCAGUGCAUUUACCGACCUCCAGGCCCUGGCAGUGCCUUCUUUGUCUCUUCCUCUUUUGCUUCUCCUUCAGUGUGGGCACUCC